AGGAAGGAAGGAAGGAAGAAGGGAAGGAGAGGGGAGGGGAGAGGAGGGGAAAGGGAAGGGAGAAAAGUGUGACAAACUAGAAGUUUUAAAGAGGUCCCAUAACAGAGAACAGGUGUGGUUAUUGGAAGACUCACCUUUAGCCAUCACCGGUGAUGAGGAUUAAGCCUUUCUCCAUACCACCCACCGUGACUACAACUGUCCUUACUCACUGAUCCACCAAAAUAGAUCUUGCAGUCGAGUGAAGCUAUGAAUGGGCAAGUCAAAUGCGGUUAACACACACUAAGAAGCCAGGCUGUUAGAAGAGCAAGAAAACUUUAGAAAAUUCGACUGUCUGAAACAAAAGCAAGCCACUCUCCACUAAGAGUGGGUGCAUCCCUGAUUUCCACCCUCAUAUUCACACUGAGAGCUCUUGCUCAAAGGAAAGAAUCUCCUAUUUCAAUUCUUGUUGUCCUCUUCUAAACUAACAUGGUCAUCUAUUCUGUAUAAACCUGUGUGUCAACAUCAAAAAAAGUUGAAUUGAAAGAUGAUGUGGGAGGGUCUCAUAGUUCUAAUAACAUGAAAGAUAGGAGAACACUGGCUAUAAUUGUGUUUUGGCACUAGCGUCUGGACCUAUAACUAAAGGAGGUUCUUCAUUCUUCCUAACCAAUAUGUAUGACAGGUAUUCAUCAUUUUUGCUAGACUUAGAUGUACCAUGUUUCCCCAAAAGUAAGACAGGGUCUUAUAUUUAUUUUUCCUCAA